rnacentral:rRNA from 1 species
UACGUAGGGGCCCGAGCGUUGUCCGGAGUUAUUGGGCGUAAAGCGCGCGCAGGCGGCCUCGCGCGCCCGACGUGAAAGCCCCCGGCUUAACCGGGGAGGGUCGUUGGGGACGGCGGGGCUUGAGGGCGGGAGAGGGUGGUGGAAUUCCCGGUGUAGUGGUGAAAUGCGUAGAGAUCGGGAGGAACACCCGUGGCGAAGGCGGCCACCUGGGCCGACCCUGACG